GGAGCUACCAAAUCAGCAGCUGUCAGCUGCGUCGACUGCAUCUGCUCAUAAACGUUGAGAUUGUUCUUUGAGCCGCGCUUGAAAAUGACGGAGAUGGAGAGGGAAACGUUAUGCAAUCGUUGGUUAUAUUUACGGCUGACUAAACGGUGCAAUGUGCAAUCCACUUGACAGCUGCGCGUUUCGUUCCCAACUGUUCAUCAUCAAGUUGGAGCGGCAUACGCGUCGUAUGCUUAAUCUAAUUACUCGCAAAACUCAAAUGCGAAAUGCAAA